GGGGAUUUUUCCGCAAUGGGCGAAAGCCUGACGGAGCAACGCCGCGUGUGGGAUGACGCUUUUCGGAGUGUAAACCACUGUUCAUGGGGACGAAGCACUGACGGUACCCAUGGAGGAAGGCCCGGCUAACUACGUGCCAGCAGCCGCGGUAAUACGUAGGGGUCGAGCGUUGUCCGGAGUUACUGGGCGUAAAGCGCAUGCAGGCGGCUCAUUACGCAUGGCGUGAAAGCCCCCGGCUUAACCGGGGAGGGUCGUCGUGAACGGGUGAGCUUGAGGGUAUCAGGGGCUGGUGGAAUUCCCGGUGUAGUGGUGAAAUGCGUAGAGAUCGGGAGGAACACCUGUGGCGAAGGCGGCCAGCUGGGAUACACCUGACGCUGAGAUGCGAAGGCGUGGGGAGCGAAAGGGAUUAGAUACCCCUGUAGUC
rnacentral:rRNA from 1 species